rnacentral:rRNA from 1 species
UACAGAGGUCCCAAGCGUUGUUCGGAUUCACUGGGCGUAAAGGGGUGCGAUAGGCGGUCGGGUAAGUCUGAUGUGAAAUCUCACAGCUUAACUGUGAAACUGCAUUGGAUACUAUCCGGCUAGAGGAAUGGAGGGGAGACGUGGGAAUACUUGGUGUAGCAGUGAAAUGCGUAGAUAUCAAGUGGAACACCAGUGGCGAAGGCGAGUCUCUGGACAUUUCCUGACGCUGAGGCACGAAAGCCAGGGGAGCAAACGGG